rnacentral:lncRNA from 1 species
CUCAAACUCACAACCCCAAGAUCCAGAGUCUCAUGCUCUACUGACUGAGCCAGCUAGGUGCCCCAACCUUUAUUUUUUUAGAGCAGUUUAGGUUUACCGCAAAAUGGAAUGGAAAGAAAACAUAACUAAAUAGGAAAUGCAGAUUUUCCCAUAUACUUCCUGUCCCCACCCAAGCACAGGUGACCCCACCAUCAACACCAGAGUGGUAUAUUUGUUACAGUCGAGAAACCAACACUAUAAUCUCGAAACCAACACUGACAAACCAACAAAGCCUAUAGUUUACCUUAGUGUUCACGCUUAGUGUUGUACAUUCUAUAGGUUUGGAUAUAUAAUAACAUGUAUCUGCCGUUAUAGUAUUUAGAAUAGUCUCAGUGCCCUAAAAAUCCUGUGUGCUCUGUUAUUCAUCUUCUCCCCACUAAACCUUGGCGACCACUGAUAUUUUUUAUUGCUCCCAUACUUACACCUUCUCCUCUCUCUCUCUCUCUUUUUUUACUUACACCUUUUCCAGAAGGUCUUAGUAGCUGUAACCUGCAAUCAAUAGGCUCUUCAGAUUGGCUUCCUCCACUGAGCCAUAUACAUUAAAGUUUCCUCCAUGUUUUUUCAUGGCUUGAUAGGAUCCUGAUUUUUAAAAGAAUCUUUUCUAUUAUUAUAGUUGAGGAGGUAUUUAUAGAUACAUAUGCCUUAACUCUUUAGAGAAACAAAGUAUACUUCUACUUACUUCCUGAAAUGACUCUAUCUCUCUUCUACAUCCUAGGAGGGUCCAGGAGGGUACAGGUAUCUUCUAGAACCUACAGCUGGCCGUUCACUGAUGUAUUUAGUGUCUAUCAUAGACCACUGUUCCAAACACCAGGGCUGGGUAACAUCCCCAACACUUAGUGGUGCAGUGCCAUCAUUUAUUAUGCUCACAGAUUCUGUGGGUUUGCACAUGACAAACCAGGGACGCCUUGUCUUGCCCUCCCAUGUCUGAUGCCUCAACUGGAAGACUUGAAGUCUACAGGAUGGAAUCAUUGGAAGGUCCCUUCAUUCAUCUCUCUGGCAGUGGGAGCUGGCUGUCAGCUGGGGGCAUUGUUUGCUCCCCACAAGCUAGUGGCUGGUUUCAAGGGAUACAAAUACGUCAAUGCCCUUUCAAUGGGGACUUUGCGGUGCCUGCCUAUAGAGUAAAGCAGAAUACAUAUCCCCGCACGAGUGAGUUUAAGUUUGACCAUGUGACUUGGUUUGGCCAAUGAAAUGCAGACUAACAUGUAUAAUGCUCGACAGAAAUUUUAAAUGUGCUUGUGUGGGCUACCUUGCCCCAUACCAUCUACCAUGAGAAGAGCAUGCCCUGAAGAGCUGCUUCUGUCUUCAGAUGAGAGGCACGUGGAACAGACCUAACCAGAUCUGAAGUCUGAAACACAAGUGCCCCAGUUGACCCAAACUACUGUGACUUUGGAAAAUAAAUUCUUGUUGGUAUAAACA